rnacentral:rRNA from 1 species
GAUGAACGCUGGCGGCGUGCCUAAUACAUGCAAGUCGAGCGAACAGAUAAGGAGCUUGCUCCUUUGACGUUAGCGGCGGACGGGUGAGUAACACGUGGGUAACCUACCUAUAAGACUGGAAUAACUCCGGGAAACCGGGGCUAAUGCAGGAUAACAUGUUGAACCGCAUGGUUCUACAGUGAAAGGCGGCUUUGCUGUCACUUAUAGAUGGACCCGCGCCGUAUUAGCUAGUUGGUGAGGUAACGGCUCACCAAGGCAACGAUACGUAGCCGACCUGAGAGGGUGAUCGGCCACACUGGAACUGAGACACGGUCCAGACUCCUACGGGAGGCAGCAGUAGGGAAUCUUCCGCAAUGGGCGAAGGCCUGACGGAGCAACGCCGCGUGAGUGAUGAAGGUCUUCGGAUCGUAAAACUCUGUUAUUAGGGAAGAACAAAUGCGUAAGUAACUGUGCGCGUCUUGACGGUACCUAAUCAGAAAGCCACGGCUAACUACGUG